UAUCCUCAAACAGUACACAAAGACUGCAAGAUCACAACCAACAUUUGAUACAAGGGACUACAACACGACUGCAUCGGAUGUCAGCUCAAGACUAUCGAAGCAAGACAUCUUGCUGCAGCUAAAUUUGAUGGUUAACAAGAAAUCAAUGAGAUGUGACCAGCAAUAUGACAGAGCCUUCUAUGCUCUCAAGAGGCUAGUGGAAGAGCUUGAUGUAAUACAUUCAACAAAUCGAGCGGAUGCUGAAAUUGAAGAUGACCUUCAUUAUUAUGCAGCUAAAAUGCUCCAGGCCGCUGCUCAAGCCAACCAAUCCAAGUAGGGUGUUGACCAAUUAAUGCAGCAGCGGUAGCAAGAGACGAUGAGAAUGCAUCUGUACUCUGAAACAAAGGGUAAGAAUAAAAUUUCCGCAGCAAAGAAAAGUGAGAGAGCUCAAAUAAAGGCACCACCUGCAGGAAGAGUCGUCAUGCUCGAUGGGAACGGAGUGCCACUUGGACACAG
rnacentral:lncRNA from 1 species